AUGUUGUUACAGUGGCAGUAUCGUAGCCAAUGAGGUUAAUCCGAGGCGCGAUUAUUGCUAGUUGAAAACAUUUCCUUUUGGCUAUCACUGUAGCAGUGCACUAUAAGCAGGGAGUGUGCCACUAUA
rnacentral:snRNA from 1 species